rnacentral:rRNA from 1 species
UAUGGUGACUAUAGCGAUGGUGUCCACCUCUUCCCAUUCCGAACAGAGUCGUUAAGCCCAUCAGCGCAGAUGGUACUGCAUUAAACCUGCGGGAGAGUAUGUCGUUGCCAUAA